ACUCAAAUGAAUUGACGGGGACCCGCACAAGCGGUGGAGCAUGUGGUUUAAUUCGACGAUAAGCGAGGAACCUCACCAAGGUUUGACAUCCGGCUGCAGAGCUCGAGAAAUCGAGCAGUCUUCGAGAGUGCCGGACAGAUGCUGCAUGGUUGUCGUCAGCUCGUGUCGUGAGAUGUACCGUUAAGUCGGGAAACGAGCGCAACCCCUACCCUAUGUUUCAUGUGUCAUAGGGAACUGUCCGCUAUAAGUGGGAGGAAGGUGGGGAUGACGUCAAAUCAGCAUGGUUCUUACACCUUGGGCGACACACGUGCUACAAUGGGAAGUACAACGGGACGCCAAAUCGCAAGAUGGAGCAAACCCCACAAAACUUCUCUCAGUUCGGAUUGAAGUCUGAAACUCGACUUCAUGAAGCUGGAAUCGCUAGUAAACGCGUAUCAGCCACGACGCGUUGAAUACGUUCUCGGGUCUUGUACACACCGCCCGU
rnacentral:rRNA from 1 species